CCUACGGGGGACUGCAGUGGGGAAUAUUGGACAAUGGGGGCAACCCUGAUCCAGCCAUGCCGCGUGUGUGAAGAAGGCCCUCGGGUUGUAAAGCACUUUCAGUGAGGAAGAACGCCUGGUGGUUAAUACCCAUCAGGAAAGACAUCACUCACAGAAGAAGCACCGGCUAACUCCGUGCCAGCAGCCGCGGUAAUACGGAGGGUGCGAGCGUUAAUCGGAAUUACUGGGCGUAAAGCGCGCGUAGGUGGCUUGAUAAGCCGGUUGUGAAAGCCCCGGGCUCAACCUGGGAACGGCAUCCGGAACUGUCAAGCUAGAGUGCAGGAGAGGAAGGUAGAAUUCCCGGUGUAGCGGUGAAAUGCGUAGAGAUCGGGAGGAAUACCAGUGGCGAAGGCGGCCUUCUGGACUGACACUGACACUGAGGUGCGAAAGCGUGGGUAGCAAACAGGAUUAGAUACCCCAGUAGUC
rnacentral:rRNA from 1 species